GACCCAUGCUGUCCCAUUGAUGUUUCUACGCAAUGUUCCCCACUCUGUGCCCCUCUGUCCCCAUAACAUCCCACACAGUUUUCCUUAUGCUGUCCCCAUGCUGUCCGCAUGACAUCUCCUAUUUCAAAUUGUCCUGAUGUCCCGUACUGCUUUCCCUAGUGUCCCCACCAUGCCUCUGUGAUGUUGCAUUUGCUUUCCCAGUCCUCUCCCCGUUAUGUCUGCCACCACCUUCAUGAUAACUCAUGCUGUCUUUUCAGACUGUCCCCACACUGUCCCUAUGUUGUUUUCCCCAUGCUAUCAGCACAUCAUUCCCAUGCUGUACCUGCACUGUCCCCAAAUCUAUCCAAAUGUUGUCCUCAAACCUGUCGCUCCCUUGUCUCCACCCUAGUCUGCUCUAUCCUCACCCUGUCCCCAUGGUCCCACUGGCUGUGGUGGCAUCCCAUGGUGCUCACCCGCUGUUCCUACAGGGUCACACCUUCCUCAGACCACCUUCCUCACACCUUCCUCGCUGCCCUCUGACCUUGUGGUUCAGUGACACUGUGCUCCCACCCUCCCUGCGCUGGAGGACUCAUGGAUAGCAGGGCCCACAUUACAGACUGCUGGAUCCAACCCAUAGGGACCGCCUACCCAGUUCUCUAUACACUGGUGAUAAAGAGCUGGACCCAAGACACUACCACCUUCCACAGUGGACCCAGCACCACUCCUAGGAGACACUCAAUGGAGGGUCUGGGCCACACAGUGACUGUAGAACCCCAGCAGGAGCAGGAAAGGAUGGCUGCCACCAUCCAUGCUUCAGGAGUGGUCUAGUGGGCUGGCCCCAGGCAGGCCAGACACAGCCUUCUGGGUCUCAGGGACAGAGGAGGCCCAAGAGCACCUGUCCCAACAAAGGGACAGAUGGACAGCUGCUGAAAGCACCAAGGCUCGACCAGGCCUGUCCUGCAGGACCAGUGUCCACUCCAGAGCACUUAAACCAGGAAACCCCAGCUGGACAAGAUACCACAGAGAGAGCCCAGUGGCCCAGGAGCCAGGGCUGGGCUGGCACUGGACAGAGGACCCGUGUGCCAUGGUCCUGUCCAGCAUGGGGAAGAUUCCAAGCCAGAGCCUCCAGUCAGGAAGAAUGACACAAGCAGGAAAGGAGAGCAGACACCACUCCAUGCUGCGGGAAAAGCCCAGGG
rnacentral:lncRNA from 1 species